rnacentral:rRNA from 1 species
UAAUACAGAGGGGGCAAGCGUUAUUCGGAAUUAUUGGGCGUAAAGGGCGCGUAGGCGGCUUUGCAAGUGGAAGGUGAAAUCCCUCGGCUUAACCGAGGAACUGCCCUCCAAACUGCUUUGCUUGAGGCCGGGAGAGGUGAGUGGAAUUCCCAGUGUAGCGGUGAAAUGCGUAGAUAUUGGGAGGAACACCAGUGGCGAAGGCGGCUCACUGGACCGGUUCUGACGCUGAGGCGCGAAAGCGUGGGGAGCAAACGGGAUUAGAUACCCCGGUAGUCCACGCCGUAAACGAUGAGUGCUUGGUGUAGCGGGUAUCGACCCCUGCUGUGCCGAAGUCAACACAUUAAGCACUCCGCCUGGGGAGUACGGUCGCAAGGCU